rnacentral:rRNA from 1 species
UAGGGAAUCUUCCUCAAUGGGCGAAAGCCUGAUGGAGCAACGCCGCGUGUGUGAUGAAGGGUUUCGGCUCGUAAAACACUGUUGUAAGAGAAGAAUGACAUUGAGAGUAACUGUUCAAUGUGUGACGGUAUCUUACCAGAAAGGAACGGCUAAAUACGUGCCGG